CUACGGGUGGCUGCAGUGGGGAAUAUUGCACAAUGGGCGCAAGCCUGAUGCAGCCAUGCCGCGUGUAUGAAGAAGGCCUUCGGGUUGUAAAGUACUUUCAGCGGGGAGGAAGGGAGUAAAGUUAAUACCUUUGCUCAUUGACGUUACCCGCAGAAGAAGCACCGGCUAACUCCGUGCCAGCAGCCGCGGUAAUACGGAGGGUGCAAGCGUUAAUCGGAAUUACUGAGCGUAAAGCGCACGCAGGCGGUUUGUUAAGUCAGAUGUGAAAUCCCCGGGCUCAACCUCGGAACUGCAUCUGAUACUGGCAAGCUUGAGUCUCGUAGAGGGGGGUAGAAUUCCAGGUGUAGCGGUGAAAUGCGUAGAGAUCUGGAGGAAUACCGGUGGCGAAGGCGGCCCCCUGGACGAAGACUGACGCUCAGGUGCGAAAGCGUGGGGAGCAAACAGGAUUAGAUACCCUUGUAGUC
rnacentral:rRNA from 1 species